UUGUAGUAAUAUACAUAAAAAUGUAGUCUACAUUUGUAAAUUUUUAUUAUUUUUUUUCUGUUGUGCUAUUUGUGUGUGUAAACGCUUUUUUUCCAGUUGGCAUAUGUGUUGGAUAAAAAAAAAGAUCCAUAUGAGGACAUACUUUCUUAUAGCCCAGGCCGGACAUUAACAAGAUGUGAUUUCUGGUCUUUGGCCUUUGAAGAGGUUGAAGCACAGAUUGCUGAUCAGUGCUUUCAAGUCAUAACUACUCUUGGAGCUUCACAGGUCAGCUUGUUUUUGUUCUGUGUGGUAUUAUUAAGCCUUUGGCAGGGAGGCCUUGUGGCCUUAAGAAGAAAUUUCUCACUUCUCAUGGAGUUUGUCACAGGCUUUACACAAUACAUUUUUCCUACAUUUUCUAAAAAAAAAACUGUUGCACUACUAGUUUCUGUCUCUUCAGGGCAAAGACUUUCAGCAUCUAUUUGGUGGUUACCUGGUUACCACCAUUUCACAAUGAUCCCCUUGCAGCUUUACCUAUAAGUUUCUUUUUAAAUUAUUGUUUGUGUGUACAUAUAUAUACAGUACUUCUGUGUGUAUAUAUCAUUAUUCCAAUACACAGGACAAUAUUGGAACAAAGGACAUCAUUUUACUCCCUCCGUGGGAGUCCGGGCACUGGAUUUUGUGUAGACUUGGCUAAUCACAUUUCACCAGGCCAUUGGAACAUUGUAACAUUGAGUCAGUUGAAGGGUGCACCACUGCAGUGGGGAGGGAAUGACUAUGGGGCAUACAUGAUGAUGUAUGCCCUCUAUGUGACCCUGGACAUGCCUUUUGAUUUUGCUCCAUCAGACAUGCCCGUAAUCAGGAGUUGGUGGUGCCAACAAUUACUGAAGACAUUUCCUCUGGCUGGAUUCAAUUCAGCCCACCAGAGCCGGAAAUGAUGGAGGUCACCCAAGGAGAGCCCACCCCAACAGAGCCAGACACUAUGGAGGUCACCCAAAGAAAAGAAAUACAGGACGUGCCUGUGAUGAGAGGCAUUAUGGUGGCCUGGAACUGGGUGAAGGAAAACCAAAAACACUUUGCUGGAAAGGUUAUCCCACCAGACAUCAUCAGUAUGGAUGAAGACGACGCAGCAAUGGCCAUCACAAUGCAGGAACUGUUCAUGACUACACACGACAUGGAUAGGGAUGAGGAUGAAAUUCAGUCUCCCUUCAUUUUCACCUUCUCAAACAAAGACAAUAUGGAGUUUUUCAUGCAUGACAUAUGAGACAAAAGAGAUAUCCGUGUGUCUUGCAUGUGCAACACAGAUUAGUACCUGGUGUUUUGCUGUUUGGUUUAGUUUACCAAUCUGUCAUCAAUAACAUGUAAAAUAAAAUCAUCAACAUCUCAGUCAUUAAUUCAUCUUCAAUGUCAGUUAUCGUCACUAGGGCUAUGGGGAGCUGGAUUAUGUCUCAGAUUU